UUGGAGGGCAAGUCUGGUGCCAGCAGCCGCGGUAAUUCCAGCUCCAAUAGCGUAUAUUAAAGUUGUUGCAGUUAAAAAGCUCGUAGUUGAACCUCGGGGUCUACCCAUUGGUCAGGCUUAAUUGUCUGUACUGGUGAGAUGGAUCUCUACCUUCUGAGGAACUUUCAUGCCAUUUAUUUGGUGUGAUGGGAAAUCAGGACUGUUACUUUGGAAAAAUUAGAGUGUUUAAAGCAGACUAUCGUCUGAAUACAUUAGCAUGGAAUAAUGAAAUAGGACGGACUGAUUCUAUUUCGUUGGUUUCUAGGAUCACCGUAAUGAUUAAUAGGGAUAGUUGGGGGCAUUAGUAUUCAAUUGUCAGAGGUGAAAUUCUUGGAUUUAUUGAAGACUAACUACUGCGAAAGCAUUUGCCAAGGAUGUUUUCAUUAAUCAAGAACGAAAGUUAGGGGAUCGAAGACGAUCAGAUACCGUCGUAGUCUUAACCAUAAACUAUGCCGACUAGGGAUCGGACGGAGUUAAUUUUAUAAUGACGCGUUCGGCGCCUUACGGGAAAC
rnacentral:rRNA from 1 species